rnacentral:SRP_RNA from 1 species
UCGUGCCAGAUGGGGAGUUAGCGGUGCCCUGUAACCUGCAAUCCGCUAUAGCAGGGUCAACUACUGACAGGCGAUAUGAAUUGGAGAGACCAGUUUUUGCAGGGGAUGACGCAGAAGGUUGGACCCAUUAUAGAUAUAUACUUCAAACCCCGUCAGGACCGGAAGGUAGCAGCGGUAAGAAGUGAUCUAUCUGAUAGUGAUUUUCCUGACUGGAGUCUUUCCCCUUCAUAACCCUUUCCAACUAAUACCAACUGUUAGGUGCACGA